rnacentral:rRNA from 1 species
UACGUAGGGUGCGAGCGUUGUCCGGAAUUACUGGGCGUAAAGAGCUCGUAGGUGGUUUGUCGCGUUUGUCCGUGAAAACUCACAACUCAAUUGUGGGCGUGCGGGCGAUACGGGCAGACUGGAGUACUGCAGGGGAGACUGGAAUUCCUGGUGUAGCGGUGGAAUGCGCAGAUAUCAGGAGGAACACCGGUGGCGAAGGCGGGGUCUCUGGGCAGUAACUACGUGAGGAGCGAAAAGCGUGGGGGAGCGAACAG